rnacentral:lncRNA from 1 species
CGUUCUUAAAGGCCAUGGCAUUCUCUAACUAAUCUCUCUGCUCCCUUUCACCUUUGUCCAGUGUGUCCUCUGAAGCUGGUAACCUGGCAGUAUUCAAAACUGCCGGAGAGAGUUCUGAAAUGAACAUCUGAUCAUGUCUGUUCCUUGCUUUAAAAUCAUUCAACUCAAGUCAACUGACUUUUAUGUACUGGAUGAAGCAGGUGCCUUGGCCAUCAGCUUCCCAUUGGAUGUGGCCAAUGGGAAACACCUCACGAGAUGGAGACUGAAACUCUGUGGAGUUAUCAUCAGGCAGACUUCUGGUUGGGUUCAACAACGGUAGGCACUAGCCGGAAGUUGGAGGAAAGGAGGAAUAAGAAGUCAGGUAUUUCCAUGGCCACAGUCCUCCCUGAGUUAUGGCAACAGUGCUCCCUGUCUUGUCUCUUCAGGCCCAUGGGUAGUAAAGCUUUCUUGUGUUAUUUCUCCUCCCUGAAGGCUUCACUAUACCUAUUGAGUUUCCUUAACUUUGUCCACUUCUCUGUAAAUAAUGCCUUUCAGUAAUCUCUUCAAAUAACCCUUUGAGCGUAUCAUCUAUUUCCUACAGGAGUCCUGACUGAUACACACUAUCAGUGGGAACAGAAAUAUAGCUGUCAUAAAUAGACAGAUUAUUGGAAUAGAUAAGGAAGUCCACAAACUUAUAGAAAUUUAGUAUAUAACAAAUGUAGUAAGAAUAUUACUUGGGUUUCCCCAAGUAAUAUGAAAUAUUCAAUAGAAGUAUGAAAUAUUCAAUAGAUAGUGUUGGGGUAUCUAGAUAAACUUCUAGAAAAAAAAAUGUUGGUUGCCUCCCUCUCUCUUAAAUCUCCAAAUGGAUCAAAGACACAAAUAUUGAAAAAAAUCUUGAACCACUAAAUAAUAUAAUAAAACAUGAGCUUUUCAUAAGUAGUAAUCUCAGAUAGACAAAAUCUUUUAAGUAUAUACAAAACACUUAUCAUAUAUGAAUUCAAGAACUUAAAAAUAGACUACUCAUUCUUAACAGAGAAAUAAAUAAAAAUCCAUCUCAGACAAACUCAAAAGUGAAAUAACAACAAAUGGCAAAAUCAAAAUGGGAAAAAUAAUUCAGAUCUAAAUAAAGUACAAAAGCAUAAUUUCUUCUGUAUAUUAAAG